CAAAAGGUCAAAAAAUGUAAGUUUACAUACCUAUAAACUUUGUUUUGAAUUUGAACCUUGCUAUUGAUAGAAAAUCAACCAAACACUUGAAGAAAGAAAACGAAAAUGGUGCAUGGGCAGUACCAAUGUAGUAUUUUUGCUGUAAUCUUCAAAAUAAAUAAGAUUUUAUAAUAAUAUCGUUGGGUGUUCGAGAAGUACCUAGUUUUGAAGGUGUUCAAUAGAUAGCUAAAACUUGUUAAAAUUGGCGCAUCAGAAUCAGAAGUGAACAAAGUUGGCGCAUGAAAGCAAAAGAUCCAGCAUUUAAUCAAAUUGUGUUGACAUUUGAAGAACUAAGUUUAAUUCAAACUAGACAGACACAGACAUCUGAAGAACUGAUUCAAAGAAGAUUUAAAGAUGGAUGACAUAAAACAAGACUUUACCAGCGAUCUAAAAAAUGUCAUAAAAAUUGAGAUGUUAGAAUCAUCUUUUGACCCAGAGACACAGACAUCUGAAGACCAAAUUCUAAUAUCAUCCAUGAUGACAGACACAGAGCAAGACUUCACCAAUGAUCUCAAAAAUGUCAUGAAAAUAGAAAAGUUAGAAUCUUCCUUACAUUCAGAGACACUGGAAAUUACCUCCACUGGUCAUACUUUUGAAG
rnacentral:sRNA from 1 species